rnacentral:rRNA from 1 species
GACGAACGCUGGCGGCGUGCUUAACACAUGCAAGUCGAACGGAAAGGCCCUGCUUUUGUGGGGUGCUCGAGUGGCGAACGGGUGAGUAACACGUGAGUAACCUGCCCUUGACUUUGGGAUAACUUCAGGAAACUGGGGCUAAUACCGGAUAGGAGCUCCUGCUGCAUGGUGGGGGUUGGAAAGUUUCGGCGGUUGGGGAUGGACUCGCGGCUUAUCAGCUUGUUGGUGGGGUAGUGGCUUACCAAGGCUUUGACGGGUAGCCGGCCUGAGAGGGUGACCGGCCACAUUGGGACUGAGAUACGGCCCAGACUCCUACGGGAGGCAGCAGUGGGGAAUAUUGCACAAUGGGCGGAAGACUGAUGCAGCAACGCCGCGUGCGGGAUGAAGGCCUUCGGGUUGUAAACCGCUUUCGCCUGGGACGAAGCGUGAGUGACGGUAAUGGGUAAAGAAGCACCGGCUAACUACGUG